rnacentral:rRNA from 1 species
GACGAACGCUGGCGGCGUGCCUAAUACAUGCAAGUAGAACGGCGUUGAGAAGAGGUGCGUAACGCGUAGGUAAAUGGCUCAUAGAGGGGGAUUACCAAUGGAAACGAUAGCUAAUACCGCACACUGGGCGAUGGACGGUAGUUGUAUUAACUAGUUGGUGAGGUAAAGGCUGACCAAGGCGACGAUCCAAAGAGGACCUGAGAGGGUGAUCGGCCACACUGGUACUGAGACACGGUCCAGACUCCUACGGGAGGCAGCAGUAGGGAAUAUUCGACAAUGGACGGAAGUCUGACCGAGCAACGCCGCGUGUGUGAAGAAGGUUUUCGGAUUGUAAAGCUCUUUUUUUAGAGAAGCGGUAACUAACCAGAAAGGCACGGCUAACUACGUGCCAGCAGCGGCGGUAAUA